AUUGAACGCUGGCGGCAUGCUUUACACAUGCAAGUCGAACGGUAACAGGCCGCAAGGUGCUGACGAGUGGCGAACGGGUGAGUAAUGCAUCGGAACGUGCCCAGUCGUGGGGGAUAACUACUCGAAAGAGUAGCUAAUACCGCAUACGAUCUAUGGAUGAAAGCGGGGGACCGUAAGGCCUCGCGCGAUUAGAGCGGCCGAUGUCAGAUUAGGUAGUUGGUGGGGUAAAGGCUCACCAAGCCAACGAUCUGUAGCUGGUCUGAGAGGACAACCAGCCACACUGGGACUGAGACACGGCCCAGACUCCUACGGGAGGCAGCAGUGGGGAAUUUUGGACAAUGGGCGCAAGCCUGAUCCAGCAAUGCCGCGUGCAGGAAGAAGGCCUUCGGGUUGUAAACUGCUUUUGUACGGAACGAAACGGCUCUGGUUAAUACCCGGGGCUAAUGACGGUACCGUAAGAAUAAGCACCGGCUAACUACGUG
rnacentral:rRNA from 1 species